rnacentral:lncRNA from 1 species
UAGUCAAAAAUUGCCACGCCUGUGCGUUCACUAAUGCUGGGUCUAACAAGCUCCUAGGAGGAAGGCGUUUGAGAGGGGAUAGGCCUGGAACCUAUUGGGAAACUGAUUUUACGGAGGUAAAGCCUGCCCGGUAUGGAAAUAAAUAUCUACUAGUUUUUAUAGACACUUUUACAGGUUGGGUUGAAGCAUUCCCUACAAAAAAUGAAACUGCAAAUGUGGUGACCAAGAAGAUACUAGAAGAAAUCCUACCCCGUUUUGGGGUACCCAAGGUAAUCGGGUCAGACAACGGGCCUGCUUUUGUCUCCCAGGUAAGUCAGGGAGUGGCCAGACAGCUGGGGAUCAAUUGGAAAUUACAUUGUGCAUAUAGACCCCAGAGUUCAGGACAGGUAGAGAGAAUGAAUAGAACAUUAAAAGAGACCUUGACAA